CCAAUAGCGUAUAUUAAAGUUGUUGCAGUUAAAAAGCUCGUAGUUGAAUUUCGGGGUCAGUAUGCUGGUCGUGCCAAUGGUAUGUACUGUUCUCACUGAUUCCUCCUUCCUGAUCAACCGUAAUGCCAUUAAUUUGGUGUUGCGGGGAAUCUGGACUGUUACUUUGAAAAAAUUCGUGUGUUUAAAGCAAGCUAACGCUUUAAUACAUUAGCAUGGAAUAAUGAAAUAGGACGUUCGAUCCUAUUUUGUUGGUUUCUAGGAUUGACGUAAUGAUUAAUAGGGAUAGUUGGGGGCAUUAGUAUUCAAUUGUCAGAGGUGAAAUUCUUGGAUUUAUUGAAGACUAACUACUGCGAAAGCAUUUGCCAAGGAUGUUUUCAUUAAUCAAGAACGAAAGUUAGGGGAUCGAAGACGAUCAGAUACCGUCGUAGUCUUAACCAUAAACUAUGCCGACUAGGGAUCGGAUGAUGUUAAUUUUUUAAUGACUCAUUCGGCGCCUUACG
rnacentral:rRNA from 1 species